rnacentral:rRNA from 1 species
GACGAACGCUGGCGGCGUGCUUAACACAUGCAAGUCGAACGGAAAGGCCUCUUUCGGGGGGUACUCGAGUGGCGAACGGGUGAGUAACACGUGAGUAACCUGCCCUUGACUUUGGGAUAACUUCAGGAAACUGGGCUAAUACCGGAUAGGAGCUCCUGCUGCAUGGUGGGGGUUGGAAAGUUUCGGCGGUUGGGGAUGGACUCGCGGCCUAUCAGCUUGUUGGUGGGGUAGUGGCUUACCAAGGCUUUGACGGGUAGCCGGCCUGAGAGGGUGACCGGCCACAUUGGGACUGAGAUACGGCCCAGACUCCUACGGGAGGCAGCAGUGGGGAAUAUUGCACAAUGGGUGGAAGCCUGAUGCAGCAACGCCGUGUGCGGGAUGACGGCCUUCGGGUUGUAAACCGCUUUCGCUCAUGACGAAGCUUUGUGUGACGGUAGUGGGUAAAGAAGCACCGGCUAACUACGUG